AUGGCGCUUUCUCUCGCCACCCCUGUAUGCUAGAAGACAGAAUAGCAGUCGCCACGCUCUGAGGUGCCUGGAAGGUUAGACUGGGAGAAGCCUCGAGACCUGCGGCCUGGAGCGGGACCCUGAGGAGGACCACGAAGUGAGCUGCCUGGCGGAAGAGAGGGGAGAAGAUGCGAAGGAAAAUCCUCAGUUUCCUGCUGCCCCUGGGACCUGAGAUGUCCCAUAGAAAAGAAGCUUCGCCUUCAAAACUGUUUGCUGUCCUCUUCCUCUGGUCUGGGGGCUCAGCCCACCCAUGGCAGCCCCCUGACUCUGCUCCUGACUGCCGCCCUCCCUGCUGUGCCCCAGCCUCCCAAGUGCCUGAUCAGAGCAUGACUGUAACAUCCCUUUCUCCGUCCACC